UUUCUACAUCAGCAAGAAGUCACCUGAGAAAUAGAUUUUAUUAAGGUAUAUGGAAGUACAAGAAUUUUCACUCUUCAUAUAUGUCGCAUAAUUUCCAAAACCAAAAUGCUAAUAAACCCCUAACGAGGUUCUUAAGGCCAUCAGCGUAGACUUCCUUAGGAAAACCAUGGCCGAGGUCGAUGCUUGCUUGGUUCACUUCUGACAACCAAUUUAGUCCCCUGCCUACCUUCUAAAAAAAAUCAUACAUCCUUCUAUGAUAG
rnacentral:misc_RNA from 1 species